GAUCCUGGCUCAGGAUGAACGCUAGCGACAGGCUUAACACAUGCAAGUCGAGGGGCAGCAUGAUAAGUAGCAAUACUUAUUGAUGGCGACCGGCGCACGGGUGAGUAACGCGUAUGCAACUUACCUAUCAGAGGGGGGAUAGCCCGGCGAAAGUCGGAUUAAUACUCCAUAAAACAAGGGGUUCCGGCAUGGGACUAUUUGUUUAAAGAAUUCAUCGCUGAUAGAUAGGCAUGCGUU
rnacentral:rRNA from 1 species